AACGAACGCUGGCGGCAGGCUUAACACAUGCAAGUCGAACGAGAUCUUCGGAUCUAGUGGCAGACGGGUGAGGAACACGUGGGAACAUCCCUUUCAGUUCGGAAUAACGUUGGGAAACUAACGCUAAUACCGGAUACGUCCUUCGGGAGAAAGAUUUAUCGCUGAAAGAUUGGCCCGCGUCUGAUUAGCUAGUUGGUGCGGUAACGGCUCACCAAGGCUACGAUCAGUGGUUGAUCGCAGAGGAAGAUCAGCCACUUUGGGACUGAGACACGGCCCAAACUCCUACGGGCGGCAGCAGUGGGGAAUAUUGGCCAAUGGGCGCAAGCCUGAUCCAGCCACGCCGCGUGAGUGAUGACGGCCUUCGGGUUGUAAAGCUCUUUUGUCCGGGAAGAUAAUGGCUGUACCGGAAGAAUAAGCCCCGGCAAACUUCGUGCCAGCAGCCGCCGUAA
rnacentral:rRNA from 1 species